CCUUUGGCUCUUUUUAGGGCCACCACAUGUGGUAAAAGAGUUUUUUU
rfam:Aedes aegypti strain Liverpool supercont1.183 genomic scaffold, whole genome shotgun sequence.